rnacentral:rRNA from 1 species
GUAAGGAAUAUUGGACAAUGGACGCAAGUCUGAUCCAGCCAUGCCGCGUGAAGGAUUAAGGUCCUCUGGAUUGUAAACUUCUUUUAUAAGGGACGAAAAAAGGCUUUUCUAAGUCGUCUGACGGUACCUUAUGAAUAAGCACCGGCUAACUCCGUGCCAGCAGCCGCGGUAAUACAGAGGGUGCAAGCGUUAUCCGGAUUCACUGGGUUUAAAGGGUGCGUAGGCGGGCAGGUAAGUCAGUGGUGAAAUCCUAGAGCUUAACUCUAGAACUGCCAUUGAUACUAUCUGUCUUGAAUAUUGUGGAGGUAAGCGGAAUAUGUCAUGUAGCGGUGAAAUGCUUAGAUAUGACAUAGAACACCUAUUGCGAAGGCAGCUUACUACGCAUAUAUUGACGCUGAGGCACGAAAGCGUGGGGAUCAAACAGGAUUAGAUACCCGUGUAGUCC